GUGCAACUUUUGCAUAUCUCCUCUCUUUGGAUAUAUAAUUCUUGCAUCUCUCCUCAUCUCUGAGGAUAUAUAAUUGUGAUAUGUUUACUUUAAUUCACUACUAGAAAAAUGACAUUAGACAUCGCACUUUAGACAUCGGUUAGAAAUACCCCUGAUGUUAAAAGUAUAUCUUACAUCAAAUAAAUCAAAAACGAUGUCUAUUAACAAUCUAAACAUCAGUUAUUGUUAAAAAUGAUGUCUUAUUCCCAGUUUCAAAAAAUGAAAAACAACCCGCUCAUUAUUCCCCCUUAUUACAGAUAUAUUCCUCCUUAACCAAAUUUUAUUUCCCACCUUCACCAAAAUCUUAUUUCCCCUCUUUCUUUCUUUUCUUCUCGGCUAUGUCUCUCGAGUCUCGACUGACGACUUUCUCGACCCUCUCUCUCUUUUUCGACUCUCUCGACUCUCUCUUCUCCCACCUCUACUCUCCCUAUCUCGUCUAUCUGGUCUCUCUCACACCAUCGAUCUUGCUCCGACAUUCAUAUAGUAGUUAGGGUUCAAUUGGGUAAACCCUAAUUUGUUUCUAUUGGAGACACAACUCGAAGAAAUUAGCAACUUGAAGCAAUUAGUAGAUUGAAACUCAGCUCUGAGAAACGCAACCUGCAAAUUAUAAGUUCGAUUGGGUUUAAGGGUUUGAUUGGUUCAAUUGGGUUUUAGGGUUCUUUUCCGAGUCUCCAUCUUCUUUUUCAAGGGAACCAAAUCAGAGAUGCCAUGGUCAUUGCAGUAUAUUUUUUUUUGUCUUGUUCACCUUGCUGUUUACGGAAUCUUUCGAUAAUAUGUUUAUGGCUGGGUCAAGAAAGUACUCUGUUUGUUUAUAUCAGAGGCUCACAGAACUAGAUGGAUUUGUUCUCUCAUUCGACCCAAAACCCAUCCCGGUCUGUCCUAAUAUUCUGCUCCUGCUAUUAGUUUCAGGCUUUCAGCUUCCUAGUACAAUUUAUAUAUGUUUUUAUAUUUGUGCGCGGUCUAAUAUUUCAUGACAACAGUUUUAAAAAACAAUGAGCUGCAGUAAAUUAAUUAAAUACUCACACGUCCAAUAUUUAUGUUCAUAGGACUUUGGAUGAUAGCAUAGCGUUUUUUUUUUCAUUUAACAAUUCUAUGACAUAAAUCUGUCGGGAUUUAUUAGGAACUGACAUGAAUUGUUGAUGACUAUUUAUCGACUUUAAUGCAGCACCUUCUUUUUUCUUUCACUCAUCCCGUGAUUCUACAGUGGAACUUAAUUUCUUUUAGUUGUAACUUGAUUUAGAUGUGAAAAUAUCCAGACUGUAAGCUAAGUAAUUUUAAUAAAAAUAGAUUAUAAAAGAUUUUGAUUGGAAUAACUCGAUAUUAGUUUUAUA